GGCGGCCGCCUGCAGGGGGUUUGAGCUGCGAGGCUGUGGGGAACGGUGCCUUUUGAGAACGGUGUUUUUCUGAGCGUUUUAUCUUCAGCGGGUGGUUUUCUUCCUCGAUGUGUCGAAUGAACGGCGAAGGAGAGCCCUCAAAAUUCCAGCCUCCCUCGAAGCCUGUCAUUAUUGACAAGCAGAAGCAGAGAGAGGAGAGGAGCUGCAGGUCAGAAUGAAACCUCAACCAUGGUCAAAAUGGUGGGAGAGGCCGAAAUACAACAUUAAAGGAAUAAAAUUUGAGCUACCCGAGAAAAAAAUGAAGGAAGCGCAGAAGUGGAAGCAGCCCUGGCUGGAAUUUGAUAUGCUGCCAGAGUAUGAUACUUCAAAAAUAGAGGAAUAAAUACGGAGGGAAGCGAGUGAAGAGCUGAACAAGUAACAGCUUUGAGUUCAGUGUAAGAAUUGUCAGUUUUCAAGUUUCGUAUGCAAAUAAAAGACAGUGAAAUUUCA